GAUGAACGCUAGCUACAGGCUUAACACAUGCCAGUCGCGGGACGGGCGCACGGGUGAGUCACGCGUAUCCAACCUGCCCUUCACCACGGGAUAACCCGGCGAAAGUCGGACUAAUACCGUAUGGUGAAGGAUGGGGAUGCGUCGGAUUAGCGUGACGGAGGGGUAAGGGCGCACCGUGGCUACGAUCGGUAGGGGUUCUGAGAGGAAGGUCCCCCACACUGGAACUGAGACACUGUCCAGACUCCUACGGGAGGCAGCAGUGAGGAAUAUUGGUCAAUGGGCGUAAGCCUGAACCAGCCAAGUAGCGUGCAGGACGACGGCCUAUGGGUUGUAAACUGCUUUUAUGCGGGGAUAGGUACCGCAUGAAUAAGGACCGGCUAAUUCCGUGCCAGCAGCCGCGGUAAUUC
rnacentral:rRNA from 1 species